AUUGAACGCUGGCGGCAGGCUUAACACAUGCAAGUCGAGCGGAGAGAGGUAGCUUGCUACUGAUCUUAGCGGCGGACGGGUGAGUAAUACUUAGGAAUCUGGCUAUUAGUGGGGGACAACAUUUCGAAAGGGAUGCUAAUACCGCAUACGCCCUACGGGAGAAAGCAGGGGAUCUUCGGACCUUGCGCUAAUAGAUGAGCCUAAGUCGGAUUAGCUAGUUGGUGGGGUAAAGGCCUACCAAGGCGACGAUCUGUAGCGGGUCUGAGAGGAUGAUCCGCCACACUGGGACUGAGACACGGCCCAGACUCCUACGGGAGGCAGCAGUGGGGAAUAUUGGACAAUGGGGGGAACCCUGAUCCAGCCAUGCCGCGUGUGUGAAGAAGGCCUUAUGGUUGUAAAGCACUUUAAGCGAGGAGGAGGGUACUGGUAUUA
rnacentral:rRNA from 1 species